GACGAACGCUGGCGGCGUGCUUAACACAUGCAAGUCGAGCGGUAAGGCCCUUUCGGGGGUACACGAGCGGCGAACGGGUGAGUAACACGUGGGUGACCUGCCCUUAGCUCUGGGAUAAGCCUGGGAAACUGGGUCUAAUACCGGAUAUGACUCCAUGACGCAUGUUGUGGGGUGGAAAGCCUUGUGCGGCUAGGGAUGGGCCUGCGGCCUAUCAGCUUGUUGGUGGGGUGAUGGCCUACCAAGGCGACGACGGGUAGCCGGCCUGAGAGGGCGACCGGCCACACUGGGACUGAGACACGGCCCAGACUCCUACGGGAGGCAGCAGUGGGGAAUCUUGCGCAAUGGGCGAAAGCCUGACGCAGCGACGCCGCGUGGGGAGUGACGGCC
rnacentral:rRNA from 1 species